CCAGCAGCUGCGGUAAUUCCAGCUCCAAUAGCGUAUAUUAAAGUUGUUGCAGUUAAAAAGCUCGUAGUUGGAUUUCUGGCAGGAGUGACCGGCCAUGCACUCUGUGCGUGAGCUGUGUCAUUCUGGCCAUCCUUGGUGAGAUCCUGUUUGGCAUUAAGUUGUCGGGCAGGGGAUAACCAUCGUUUACUGUGAAAAAAUUAGAGUGUUUAAAGCAGGCUUAUGCCGUUGAAUAUAUUAGCAUGGAAUAAUAAGAUAGGACUUUGAGUCUAUUUUGUUGGUUUGCGAGUCAAAGUAAUGAUUAAUAGGGACAGUUGGGGGUAUUCGUAUUUCAUUGUCAGAGGUGAAAUUCUUGGAUUUCUGAAAGACGAACUACUGCGAAAGCAUUUACCAAGGAUGUUUUCAUUAAUCAAGAACGAAAGU
rnacentral:rRNA from 1 species